rnacentral:rRNA from 1 species
UCGAGAAUCUUCGGCAAUGGACGCAAGUCUGACCGAGCGACGCCGCGUGCGGGAUGAAGGCCCUCGGGUUGUAAACCGCUGUCAGAGGGGAUGAAGUGUACGGGAGUUAUCUCCUGUAUUUGACAGAGCCUCAGAGGAAGCACGGGCUAAGUUCGUGCCAGCAGCCGCGGUAAUACGAACUGUGCGAACGUUAUUCGGAAUCACUGGGCUUAAAGGGUGCGUAGGCGGCUGCCUAAGUCAGGUGUGAAAUCUCUCGGCUCAACCGGGAAACUGCGCUUGAUACUGGGCGGCUUGAGUGAGGUAGGGGUGUGUGGAACUUCCGGUGGAGCGGUGAAAUGUGUAGAUAUCGGAAGGAACGCCAGCAGCGAAAGCGGCACACUGGGCCUUUUCUGACGCUGAGGCACGAAAGCCAGGGGAGCGAACGGGAUUAGAUACCCAAGUAGUCCCUGAGCGGGCUGGCAAGGCGCAU